rnacentral:rRNA from 1 species
AGCGAACGCUGGCGGCAGGCUUAACACAUGCAAGUCGAGCGGGCAUCCUUGUGGUGUCAACGGCAGACGGGUGAGUAACGCGUGGGAACGUGCCCUUCGGUUCGGAAUAACUCAGGGAAACUUGAGCUAAUACCGGAUACGUGCGAGAGCAGAAAGGUUUAUCUGCCGAAGGAUCGGCCCGCGUCUGAUUAGCUAGUUGGUGAGGUUACGGCUCACCAAGGCGACGAUCAGUAGCUGGUCUGAGAGGAUGAUCAGCCACACUGGGACUGAGACACGGCCCAGACUCCUACGGGAGGCAGCAGUGGGGAAUAUUGGACAAUGGGGGCAACCCUGAUCCAGCCAUGCCGCGUGAGUGAUGACGGCCUUAGGGUUGUAAAGCUCUUUUCUCCGGGACGAUAAUGACGGUACCGGAGGAAUAAGCCCCGGCUAACUUCGUG